UACGUAGGGUGCGAGCGUUAAUCGGAAUUACUGGGCGUAAAGCGUGCGCAGGCGGUGAUGUAAGACAGGUGUGAAAUCCCCGGGCUUAACCUGGGAACUGCAUUUGUGACUGCAUCGCUGGAGUGCGGCAGAGGGGGAUGGAAUUCCGCGUGUAGCAGUGAAAUGCGUAGAUAUGCGGAGGAACACCGAUGGCGAAGGCAAUCCCCUGGGCCUGCACUGACGCUCAUGCACGAAAGCGUGAGGAGCAAACAGG
rnacentral:rRNA from 1 species